rnacentral:rRNA from 1 species
UACGUAGGGACCGAGCGUUGUCCGGAAUCAUUGGGCGUAAAGAGCGUGUAGGCGGCUAUUUAAGUCCUGCGUGAAAUCCUGCGGCUCAACCGCAGACGGUCGUGGGAAACUGGAUGGCUAGAGCGCGGGAGAGGAGAGUGGAAUUCCCGGUGUAGCGGUGAAAUGCGCAGAUAUCGGGAAGAACACCCGUGGCGAAGGCGGCUCUCUGGAACGCAACUGACGCUGAGACGCGAAAGCGUGGGGAGCAAACAGG